CCUGCCCAUAGAGGGAUUGCAGGCGUGGCUACUGUGUCAUAUGUAUGUUAGUAGGUGACAGAGGAGAGAGAGGCUUUGUCUACUCUCAGUGUAUUGACCUGUAAACAUCUGAAUGAUUAGUAGCCUCAUAUU
ensembl:snoRNA